rnacentral:rRNA from 1 species
GACGAACGCUGGCGGCGUGCUUAACACAUGCAAGUCGAGCGGUAAGGCCCUUUCGGGGGUACACGAGCGGCGAACGGGUGAGUAACACGUGGGUGACCUGCCCUUAGCUCUGGGAUAAGCCUGGGAAACUGGGUACUAAGUACCGGAUAUGACUCCAUAACGCAUGUUGUGGGGUGGAAAGCCUUGUGCGGCUAGGGAUGGGCCCGCGGCCUAUCAGCUUGUUGGUGGGGUGAUGGCCUACCAAGGCGACGACGGGUAGCCGGCCUGAGAGGGCGACCGGCCACACUGGGACUGAGACACGGCCCAGACUCCUACGGGAGGCAGCAGUGGGGAAUCUUGCGCAAUGGGCGAAAGCCUGACGCAGCGACGCCGCGUGGGGAUGAC